ACUAACAAGUAAAAAAUAAAUGUGUUAUCACGAAGGAAUGUGAGCUAAACGCACAUAUGGUCUAUUGGCAUGCGUCGCAUAGCACGUAAUAAAUGUACGUUUAGGGGUGAUAGGCUUUUCAAACGUUCCUAUAACUUGUUUCAUAUGAAAAGUAUUAAGUACCUAAACAAAUUUAAAAAGUUAAGCUUUUAAAUAACUAUUAAAGAUAUUAUCCCCUUGUAGUGUAGUUUAAUAGCUAUCUACAUAUUAACUUAAUAUAAAGUAUAAUAGUUUAUAUUUUAUAAUAUGACGUUAACAAUUUUGUUUAAUAUUUGAAAAUGUUAUUAUUAGUAAUAUUAGUAUAUGUGCUAAAGGAACUCGGCAAAAAAACCACUCAACUGUUUAUCAAAAACAUAGCUAUAUGAAUUAAUAUAUAGUUAUUUCUGCUCAAUGAUUUAAAUAGCCGCAGUACUCUGACUGUGCAAAGGUAGCAUAAUCAGUUGGCUUUUAAUUAGAGUCUGGUAUGAACGAAAAUAUGGGUAGUAACUGUCUUAGCACAUUUUUUCGAACUUAUUAAACAAGUGCAAAUGCUUGUAAUUUAACAAUAGACGAGAAGACCCUAGAAACUUGGACAAGUUUUUGUUGGGGCGACAGAAUUACACUUAACUAAUCUUAUAAUACACGACGCGAUGUUGAAAGAAUAAGUUACUCUAGGGAUAACAGCAUAAUUUCAUUAGUUUGUGACCUCGAUGUUGGACUAGGUACUAUACCCUUAAGGCAAGGAUAUAUUAUGCUCUGUUCGAGCAAAAUUACCUACAUGAUCUGAGUUCAGACCGG
rnacentral:rRNA from 1 species